rnacentral:lncRNA from 1 species
CUGAAAGUAUGACAGGAGUUUAAAACUCUUCCCACAUACUGCCGCAUACAGUACUCACCACAAGCAGUCCCCUAAACUGUCUGGAUGUAGUUACAGUUCAGUUCUGAGCCAGGAAUGGGGUAGGACAGUGCUGAGCCCGGGCAGGCUGCUGUGCUCUCAGCACGCUUUGCUGGAUGGAUGAGACCUGGCAUUCCCAAUUAGGGCACUUGCACAAAGCGCCAGCCAGGCCGUGGCAUUGACGUGCAGCCCAGCUCCGCAGCACAGGCUCCCGCUGGCAGCUCCAAGGUAAGGACUGCAUGCCCUGCCCUGAAUUUGGGUGCAAAAAACCACAACAGGAUUUAUACUUAUUUUCUGUACACACUCUCCUCCUCACAGGCAAGUGCACAUGGGGAUUUCUGUACAGCAGCAUAUGGAAAGAAUGUGGAAGGACGACUGGUUUCUCCCAGGCUUGUGAGGAGCUGCCAUCAGAAAGCAACAUUUCAAAAUGGAUGGAGUGAGUAGCAGCGUCUCAGCCACAGCAAGCAAUGUCCCAGCAAGGCAGGGAGAUGCCUGCCCACAGAGCCAGCAGCACAUCUUUUGCACCUGGCACUUCAGGCAAGCAGCAGCUGAAAGAGAACUCUGUAACAUGUCCAUAAUAGACUGCUGCUCUGCCUUCAGGAGCAAGUGGCCAUUUCAAUGGCUGCAGAUGUUUGUGCAAGAAUGGACAUUGCUCGGUACCAUUCUCUGGUAAUGCCGGAGUCCUUGUAGUCAACAGCUUGAGCUCUUUAAUUCAUGAUACAGUCUUUUUGCUAAAAGGUCGCAAGGAAACACUGAUAGCUUCUGCUUCAGAUGUUCUCUGCAGAUUGUGUAAGGGAUGUGCUGGUUUAGAAGGUCACAUUGGUGUCUUAUAUUUACUUACAGUAAAGGCCUUCAUUGUAUUUUUCUGAUUCUGUCUGCCUGAAUGGAUAUGCAUGUUAGCUGUGUAGCUUGCUGAAUUCUGAACGCAGAAAAAAAACCCCAAGUAUGUUAUAACUGGUUCUCAUUAAACUGCUAAACGGAAUACUAAAAGGUAGCUUAAAAUCAGGUGCAUUUAAUAAAGUUAUAUUUGAAUUGGCA